rnacentral:rRNA from 1 species
GAUGAACGCUGGCGGCGUGCCUAAUACAUGCAAGUCGAGCGAACGGACGAGAAGCUUGCUUUUCUGAUGUUAGCGGCGGACGGGUGAGUAACACGUGGAUAACCUACUUAUAAGACUGGUAUAACUUCGGGAAACCGGAGCUAAUACCGGAUAAUAUUUUGAACCGCAUGGUUCAAAAGUGAAAGACGGUCUUGCUGUCUCUUAUAGAUGCAUCCGCGCUGCAUUAGCUAGUUGGUAAGGUAACGGCUUACCAAGGCAACGAUGCAUAGACGACCUGAGAGGGGGAUCGGCCACACGGGAAGUGAGACAGGGACAAGAGUCCUGCGGGAGGCAGCAGUAGGGAACCUGCCGCAACAGGCGAAAGCCUGACAGAACAACGCCGCGUGAGAUGUGACAGUCUUCGGAUCGUAAAGCUCUGUUAUUAGGGAAAAACAUAUGUGUCAGGAACUGUGCACAUCGUGACGGUACCUGAUCAAGAAGCCACGGCUAACUACGUG